AGUGAUGCAGCCGAAAAGACGUCAUGAAUCAAUGAGUCAGCUGGACAAAGGCACGUCGAGAGCUAGGAGUCAGGGAGACAUGUAGACAUUUGGCAAAUCUAAUGAGCUCUAAUAACAGAUAUAUUUAGCACUGCUGCAUGAUGUGAAGGUUGAGUCCCAUAGUCAGGUUAACCCUUUCACAAUGACAGGCAUGUUGCUAGUCUUCCUAAAUACUGUAUGACAUGAGAGGUAGAAAAAGUACCAUCUUCUCUUGGGAAGAUAUUCAUGCAAGUUGGUGGAUAAAAGAGACACUUUUCUAUUCCUCUGUUGUGUUCAUGGGAUUGCCAUCCACAUGAAAAACUCCUCAGUAGAAGACUAUCGAAACAGGUUCAGAGAAAAAAAUUAUUUGUUCUAAGAAUGACAAUGUCUUUAUGCCUCUUAAUAAGGCAGAUGGGAGGGGCUUUCUACUAUGAUAUUGAAAGACAAAUUGAGAUCUGAUAUUGCAGGUUUUAUAGUCUGGGAUCAGUAACAGUGCCACACAAAGGUGUAGAAGGGCAGAACAGAAUUGUCAAAAUCAGUCUUUAUUGUUUCCACAAACGUCCAAGCAGAACAUUGUCUAGAGCAAUUCUGUCUGGGAAAGUCUUGCACAAGAGACAGGAAAGUAAGCUACAGUGAGCCAUGAAGCAGUCAAGAGUUUUGGAAUUAGAACUAUUUGAAGUACGUCACAGAGAGGUGGAAAAUUAGAUUCCAAUAUUACAACUGCUUUAAGAGAAUUUUUUCAUCUUCCACAGUGAGGAAACCUGCUCAACUAGGUUUUCUGGAAAGACAGCAUACCCUGAAACUUCAGCACACAGAAAGAUGGAGGGAUGAAUACAGGAGUACUCAACCAGUCUCUUUUCAUCAUUGUCUGAUAAUACAAACAGUAAAGCUGGGCAGAUUUGUGAAGGGGGAAACAGAAACCUUACUGUUAGUAUUGAAAGUGCCGUGCUUUGGAAAGAACUGAAAAUAGAAGUCACAGUUAUCUGUCCUUAAACCUUGCCCUGAUGAUCUAUAUAUUUUAAUAAAAAUCCGAGAACUCAAAAAUGCA
rnacentral:lncRNA from 1 species